CCCUUAGAUGUUCUGGGCGGCCCGCGCACUACAAUGGCGCUUUCAGCGAGUUCCUAUGUUGAAUUUUCCUGGGUAUUCUUGGAAGCGGCGUCUUGACUUGGGAUAGAUCCUUGUAAUUGUUGGUUUUGAACGAGGAAUUCCUUGUAAUCGCGGUUGAUCAGCUCGCGUUGAAUACGUCCCUGCCCUUUGUACACACCGCCCGUCGCUCCUACCGAUGAAUCGUCCGGUGAAGUUCACAGAGUGGCGGUUCGUGGAGUUGCUCGCGAAGCGAAAUGGACCUCACGAUUUAGAGGAAGGAGAAGUCGUAACA
rnacentral:rRNA from 1 species